rnacentral:rRNA from 1 species
ACGGCUCAGUAACACGUGGAUAACCUGCCCUUGGGUCCGGCAUAACCCCGGGAAACUGGGGAUAAUUCCGGAUAACGCACAUAUGCUGGAAUGCUUUAUGCGUAAAAUGGAUUCGUCUGCCCAAGGAUGGGUCUGCGGCCUAUCAGGUAGUAGUGGGUGUAAUGUACCUACUAGCCUACAACGGGUACGGGUUGUGAGAGCAAGAGCCCGGAGAUGGAUUCUGGGACAUGAAUCCAGGCCCUACGGGGCGCAGCAGGCGCGAAAACUUUACAAUGCGGGAAACCGUGAUAAGGGGACACCGAGUGCCAGCAUCAUAUGCUGGCUGUCCAGGUGUGUAAAAUACACCUGUUAGCAAGGGCCGGGCAAGACCGGUGCCAGCCGCCGCGGUAACACCGGCGGCCCGAGUGGUGAUCGUGAUUAUUGGGUCUAAAGGGUCCGUAGCCGGUUUGGUCAGUCCUCCGGGAAAUCUGACGGCUUAACCGUUAGGCUUUCGGGGGAUACUGCCAGGCUUGGAACCGGGAGAGGUAAGAGGUACUACAGGGGUAGGAGUGAAAUCUUGUAAUCCCUGUGGGACCACCUGUGGCGAAGGCGUCUUACCAGAACGGGUUCGACGGUGAGGGACGAAAGCUGGGGGCACGAACCGGAUUAGAUACCCGGGUAGUCCCAGCCGUAAACGAUGCUCGCUAGGUGUCAGGCAUGGCGCGACCGUGUCUGGUGCCGCAGGGAAGCCGUGAAGCGAGCCACCUGGGAAGUACGGCCGCAAGGCUGAAACUUAAAGGAAUUGGCGGGGGAGCAC